GCGGGUGUCGUAUAAUGGUAUUAUGCGUCCUUGCCAAGGACGAAACACGGGUCCGAUUCCCGUCACCCGCUCCA
rnacentral:tRNA from 1 species